CCUACGGGAGGCAGCAGUGGGGGAUAUUGCACAAUGGGGGAAACCCUGAUGCAGCGACGCCGCGUGAGUGAAGAAGUACUUAGGGAUGUAAAGCUCUAUCAGCAGGGAAGAAAAUGACAGUACCUGACCCAGAAGCCCCGGCUAACUACGUGCCAGCAGCCGCGGGAAUACGUAGGGGGCAAGCGGUAUCCGGAUUUACUGGGUGUAAAGGGAGCGUAGACGGUUAUGUAAGUCUGGAGGUAAAGCCCGGGGCCCAACCCCGGUACCGCUGUUGAAACUGUGUAACUGGAGUACACGAGGGGCAGGCGGAAUGCCUGGUGUAGCGGUGAAAUGCGUAGAUAUCAGGAGGAACUCCGGCGGCGAAGGCGGCCUGCUGGACUUAAACUGACGUUGAGGCUCGAAAGCGUGGGGAGCGAACAGGAUUAGAUACCCUUGUAGUC
rnacentral:rRNA from 1 species